GACACCCGCCAGACACCAUGUGCCACCUGUCCCCGAGGGUGCCAACUGCUGUCCCCGUGUCGGGGCUGUGAUGUGAGGCUAAGAAUACCCGGUGCUGUCACAGCUGUGACAUUUCCCGGUGCCGCCCCCUCUCCAACCCGCCGGGCACGGUGCAUCUGCUGCCCGAUGUCACUGCAGGGACAGGGGACAGUGGGCUGCGAGGACGCGUGUGGCACAGUCGGACACAGAGGUGGCAGCCCCUGUUGCCACGUCCCUGCUGUCAUCAGGGAGCCCCGUGCUUGCAGCUCCUGCAGGACAUCAGUGCGGGUACCACAGCUCUGACCCCAGUGUCCCCAAGAGCUGGAGCCACGUGCCAAGGGACACGGACUGUGCACAGGGACGGGGCUUCCCUGAGCCGCUCAGUGUGGGGCAGCGUGUGGGGCAGCAACGCCGGCGCUCAGCCCUUUGCACGGGCCCCCGGCUCCCCUUUUUGCUCCUCCCCCCAUCGCAGAGCGCUGACCCCCAAGCUGUGUUUCCCCAUGGCUGCCCCACAGCGGGUGGCUCUGGGGACGACCGCUCGCUGCCAGCCCCACAGCUGCCACUUGCAUAACGCCUGUGAUGUGUCCCUGUGCACAGUGCCACCCUCCCGCCUGCUGUAGGAAUGUCAGCACGUCCCUUCCCUGGGUUGCAGGAACCCAACAGGCUCAGGCAGUCGCAGUGGGUACCCGGAGCAUCACUGCGGUGGCAUUUGGGAGAACACCCACACGGCCAGCAGGAGGUGCGCGUGCCCCCCUGGGUUCUGCCGGCUGCAGCUCCAUCCCCGCAAAGCCCCUGCGGUGGGGGUGGCUCCUUUCCCUUCCUAUCGGAAGCUGGAUGUAUCGAGAAGGCAGAAAGGCACCGCCGUGGUGGUGGCUCCUAAUUCCGUCUCUAAUUAGCGCCGGUGCCGCUCCACCCGGCUGUGUGCUGCUCUCACCGCGCCCCCCCCCGACGCGCUCAGUUCAGUGACCGCAGAGAUCAGGGCUUUAUUAAGACGUACGAAGUCGCAUUACGCUCAAUUGAGUGCGGAAACUCGUUUAAUUGGGCCGAACGCUCGCCCGGUCGGUGCCAAAACCAACGUGCAGAGCGCCGGCUUUGCUGAGAUUCGCCACGGCCCUUGUG